UACGUAGGGUGCAAGCGUUUAUCGGAAUUACUGGGCGUAAAGCGUGCGCAGGCGGCUAUGCAAGACAGAUGUGAAAUCCCCGGGCUCAACCUGGGAACUGCAUUUGUGACUGCAUGGCUAGAGUACGGCAGAGGGGGAUGGAAUUCCGCGUGUAGCAGUGAAAUGCGUAGAUAUGCGGAGGAACACCGAUGGCGAAGGCAAUCCCCUGGACCUGUACUGACGCUCAUGCACGAAAGCGUGGGGAGCAAACAGG
rnacentral:rRNA from 1 species